rnacentral:lncRNA from 1 species
GGGAUUUUAAAACCCAAACAAAUCAUUUUUUGUUAUUGCCACUUGCAUCACAUUAACCCAAAUAGUUAGUACAUGCAAUCAUUCUCUAUGCACGAAUGCAGAUUUCAGUGUUCCAAAUAGGACUCAUGCAUUGGUGCGUGCUACAUGGGAAAGUUCCAAGUUUUGAAUUUCGUCUCAGGUAUUUUUUUUCUUCACAAUUUUGAACAUAACUUGUUUGUUAUAAUUCUGAAUUAAGUUAUGUCUAUGGCCACGUGUUCCAAAAAAUAAGUACUGUUCAAAAGUAGUAAAAUAAGAGUGGUAAAGUGAAAGGAAAAUUGAGGUCCACAUGGAAGGCUUGCGUGGUGUGACGACCCAUCCCUAAUUUUCUAUGUAAUUUCUCCCCAAGUAUGUGAUUUGACAUUCAUGUCCUUGUUGGCAAGUGGCGUGAAUGUAUUUAUUCCUUUUUUUAAAAUUGUUUUUCUCGCUAUCAUGAUUAAACUGUGAUUUCAUCUGUACAAACCUUGUUGAUAAGGCACAAUAGAUUUCUUGUGAUUUCAUUUGUACAAACCUUAUCCAUUUUUCUUCUUAA